rnacentral:misc_RNA from 1 species
GCACCCAGUAAGAUGAAGCAAUAGGGAAAGUGCCUUACAUGCCACUUACCCAGUGGACUCCGGAAGACUCUAAAGGUUACUCUCCACCAGAUAACCGCACACAGUCCUGACAACUCAACUCCAAUUCUAAUACGCCACUUUUGCUUUUCCCACUCAAUGAGGAUGCCCCCGUCCUCGCUUGCACCUGGUGCCUUUAUCUUCUUCUUGUUCUCAAAUUUCUCCCUAUAAAUACCACAGCCACCCUUUCUCCUAUUCCAUGCUCCAAUUAAGGUUUUCAAUUAGAUUUGAAACCAGAAGUUAAGCUCUUUAGAAAUGGCCAUCUCCAAGCUUCUGAUCGUUUCCCUUCUUAUCUCUUCUCUUCUUCUUCUUCAUUUUGCUGAGGCUGAUCAUCAUCAGCCGACGGUCAACUCAAACCUUGCUCCAAGCAAUCCCCCUAAGAAAAUUGAUUGUGGAAGCGCUUGCACUGCGAGGUGCCAGUUAUCAUCUAGGCCACACCUGUGCAAGAGGGCAUGUGGGACUUGCUGUGCACGUUGCAACUGUGUUCCUCCAGGAACUGCCGGUAACUAUGAGGUCUGCCCCUGCUACGCCAGCUUGACCACCCAUGGUGGCAGACGCAAGUGCCCUUGAAGCUUCGCUUAUUAAAUUUGCUUAAGAAUCAAAAGUAAUCUCUCAUAUGUUUGAUAUGGUAAAAUAAGAACAAAAACAGCAAAAGGGUGGUACCUGUAAAUUGAGUUGAAUAAUAAUUCAAAUGCGUGCAUGUUAUUUUCUCUUUUAGUUUUUGGUUUGGAGAUUUUUCUUAUUUAAAUUUAAUUCACUGUAAAUCAAAAUACAAAAAUAUAUGACAGGAUGUAUACAUCCAUCCAUGGUAAAUAGUGGACUAAGUUUAUGCAAUAAUCAGCCUUUGAUCUUG